rnacentral:rRNA from 1 species
AGUUUGAUCCUGGCUCAGGAUGAACGCUAGCGAUAGGCUUAACACAUGCAAGUCGAGGGGCAGCAUAAAGGCAGCAAUGUCUUAGGUGGCGACCGGCGCACGGGUGAGUAACACGUAUGCAACCUGCCCACAACUGCGGGAUAACCCGUCGAAAGACGGACUAAUACCGCAUGGUAUGGAUUGAUCGCCUGAUUGAUUCAUCAAAGAAUUUCGGUUGUGGAUGGGCAUGCGUUCCAUUAGCCAGAUGGUGAGGUAACGGCUCACCAUAGCAAUGAUGUCUAGGGGUUUUGAGAGGAAGGCCCCCCACACUGGGACUGAGACACGGCCCACACUCCUACGGGAGGCAGCAGUGAGGAAUAUUGGUCAAUGGAGGCAACUCUGAACCAGCCACGUCGCGUGAAGGAUGACGGCCCUACGGGUUGUAAACUUCUUUUGUAAGGGAAUAAAGUUAGUUACGUGUAACUAUUUGCAUGUACCUUACGAAUAAGGAUCGGCUAACUCCGUGCCAGCAGCCGCGGUAAUACGGAGGAUCCAAGCGUUAUCCGGAUUUAUUGGGUUUAAAGGGUGCGUAGGCAGAAGAUUAAGUCGGUGGUGAAAUUUUGCAGCUUAACUGUAACAGUGCCGUUGAUACUGUUUGGCUAAGAAUUUGGUUGUUAGUGUGCGGGAAUGUGUGGUGUAGCGGUGAAAUGCUUAGAUAUCACACAGAACACCCGAUGGCGAAGGCCGCACACUAAGUCAUUAUUGACGCUGAGGCACGAAAGUGUGGGGAUCAAACAGGAUUAGAUACCCUGGUAGUCCACACUGUAAACGAUGAUAACUCGCUGUCGGCGAUACACAGUCGGUGGCCAAGCGAAAGCAUUAAGUUAUCCACCUGGGGAGUACGACCGCAAGGUUGAAACUCAAAGGAAUUGACGGGGGCCCGCACAAGCGGAGGAACAUGUGGUUUAAUUCGAUGAUACGCGAGGAACCUUACCCGGGCUCGAACGGUGCAUGAAUAUACGAGAGAUUGUAUAGUCCUUCGGGACAUGUAUCGAGGUGCUGCAUGGUUGUCGUCAGCUCGUGCCGUGAGGUGUCGGCUUAAGUGCCAUAACGAGCGCAACCCUUGUCAUUAGUUGCCAUCAGGUCAAGCUGGGGACUUUAAUGAGACUGCCACCGUAAGGUGUGAGGAAGGGGGGGAUGACGUCAAAUCAGCACGGCCCUUAUGUCCGGGGCGACACACGUGUUACAAUGGGAGGUACAGAGGGCAGCUAUCCGGUGACGGAAUGCUAAUCUCCAAAACCUUUCUCAGUUCGGAUUGGAGUCUGCAACUCGACUCCAUGAAGGUGGAUUCGCUAGUAAUCGCGCAUCAGCCAUGGCGCGGUGAAUACGUUCCCGGGCCUUGUACUCACCGCCCGUCA